GCCCAGGUAGACUUCUUCUACUGCUCUGACAGCAGAAGCCAUUUACAACAUUGAGAGAAGUUGACGGCGAAUGGCGGCUUUUUAAUAAGGAAUGGACAACUAAUUACUUUUUCAUCGAAGUCCAGUCAAAGGCUGUACGUCUUAUUUGCCACGAAACCGGAAGGAACACAACGUGUGGCGAAAUUAUUGACCCAUCACCCUUGAUCACCCCCUGGGAGGUGAGGGGAGCAGUGAGCAGCAGCGGUGGCCGCGCCCGGGAAACACCAAUUCCAACCCUGGAUGCUGAGUGCCAAGCAAGGAGACUAGAAGCAGCUUCCACAGACCUCCUCCGGUGACAUUCCAGCGAUAUAGUUCCCACCAAGCCCCUCCCUCCUGAAGUACACUCCAGAGUGGUCGAUCAAGAAAGGCGUGUCCAGACCGGGACCGUCGGGACAGUGAACCACGUACACGAACCUGAACGUCAACAAACAUGUUUUUAUGGUGAUACUGACCGGUGACUUCUCCGGCACACUGGAUGACACCCAUGGACAUGGCUUUCCUCUUGAAGGCGUUCAACAGAGUCCAGGGGUCAAACCAGCCCUCGUUCUCCAGACCUGCACAGUUAAAACACGACCUCUGGGUCUUGUAGUUCUCCUCCAUGAUGUGUGCCACCUUCUCGCUGGCCAGGAACAAAUAUCCUGAUUGGUUGAACUGCAGGUCCACGGCAUCUUCGUUCAAUACCCCAAGGUGGUCCUGAGAGGACACAUUUUAUGGAAGUUUGCAGACUCCAAAGACAGGCAGAUGUUCUCCAGCAGGGAAAACUGCUGCCGGAUCCCCCCAGCGGACAACACUGUGGACGCCUUGGAGUACUGAAGGGACGGACAACGCAGAGAGGUAAUAGGAGAACGUCAUUUAAGGAAAAAUCAGUCCCUGGAAUGACAGCAGACCCCGUUUUUGCUGCAGAUUCCUAAAAACACUAAAGCGCUGUCACAUAGAUGAUCUUUGACUGGCAUCUUGUGUAAUAGUUCCUUUAAAAGCAGCAGAGGGCUCCUGUCAAAGAUCCUCUGUUUAGGAUCUUUGAUUACAGUUUUUGCAGUAGGUUUUAAAAACAACAGAGCUGUCCUGUCAAAUAAAGGGUCUUUUACCACUGUAUUUUGCAGUAUGUCCUGUCAAAUAGAGGAUCUUUGACUACAGUUUUUUGCAAUAGGUCCUCAAAAACAGCAGACCGCAUCUGUUGUAUAGAGCAGUGUUUCUUAAACAUAGGCCCCAGCUCAUUGUUAGGCGUGAGCGCCCCCUUACACCGAAUUUUCACUAAAUGCGGAACGGCUGCAGACCGGCACACACGCGCCGGCGGACUCUUUCCUUCUUUAAUUCAAGUCCAUGCGUCAAUCUCCACCGCCCGCGUAACGUUACCGACAUGCCAUUUCCAUUCUGCAUUCCAGCGCUAAAUAUACACAGAAAUUAAAUUUUUGCCAGACGCCGCAACAAAUCUGUUCAAUUUAGCUAAAAUCUGCUGCUGUUGGACAAGAAGUUAUGCAGAAAAAAAAAAAAGUAUCCGGUUUACUUUCAAAAUAAAAUAUUCCGUCUUUCAAGGCGGAUCAUAUUUUACUACCAACGAACCCCCACAUAUGUUGUACCGUCGGAAAGGUCUCGUUCACGCUGAUAGUGGAAAUCUAAAUUGGGAACAUUUUGUGUUAUCAUGGCAACGCUAUUCACGAACAAAAAAAAAGGGGCUAAUUGUAUGGGUACAGCCCUUCUGUGUAAUACGAGACAAACCGACCAACGAACCCCCAUAUGUUAUACCGUCGGAAAGGUGUCCUUCUCGCCAAUGGGCGUAUUUUAAAUUCCGCCGCCAUACACCUUUGAGUCAAAUAACUUGGUACGGCUGCAGACCGGCACACACGCGUCGGAGGACUCUUUCCUCCUUUAAUUCAAGUCCAUGUGUCAAUCUCCACCGCCCGCGUAACGUAACCGACAUGCCAUUUCCAUUCUGCAUUCCAUCUCUAAAUAUACACAGAAAUUCAAUUUUUGCCAGACGCCGCAACAAAUCCGUUCAAUUUAGCUAAAAUCUGCUAGUGUUGGACAAGAAGUUAUGCACAAAAACAAAUAGUAUCCGGUUUACUUUCAAAAUAAAAUAUUCUGUCUUUCAAGGCGGAUCGUAUUUUACACUUUGAAAGGUUUGAAAGGCGACGGACAUGAAGUCAACUUGUCAAAGGUUUUUAGAUUUUAAUAUAAUCUUUUUGACACAAAUGGAUGAGGACAUGCCGAUUCUGGAGGUCCAAAAUUAAAGGAUAAUAUACAGGCAUAUACCAGGCAGCUACAUGUCAAAUAUCAGCUGAUAUGAAGACAAGUAAAGCAGAAGACUAGUUGUGUGACACGCUCGCCAGGGACUAUGUUACUGUUGUAUUGUUGCUUGCUGUACUCGGUUGUAAUACACUUUUCCACCACUUAUGUCCGUAAUGACAAUGUCAAAUAAACAGACUAGUGUGGAGCUAAAGUCCUACAGAAGUUUCUUAAGCGCUAAAAUGAUGACCAAAAUGGUGAACCUGUAUUUAUUUGCAUUAAUUUUAUUGACAGUUUAUUUGAGGAUUUUUUUUAAAUUCCGGUCCAUGUAUUCCAAAGCACAGAUUCUGCUGCUCCCUAAUUUCCGUUCCGCAUUUUCCAGCACACCUUCAACACAUCCACAGGUCUGUGUCCUAAUCGGAAGCAGAUGCCGGUUCAUGGUUCCGAAAGGUGAGCGGAAGUUACCGGUAAAAAUGUCAGCGGUGUGGGAUUAUUUUACCCUAUAAAACGAAAAAGAUGAAGAGGUGGAGUGCAAAACAUGCCACAAUAAAGUCAAGCGUGGUGGUACAGUUGUAAGACAUUUUAGUACCAUUUACAUUUAGCGAAAUACCACCGUAAAGAAUAUGAGGAAUUUCGAAAGAAAACUGACGAAAAGAAAAAGAAAGGUCCUACCCAAGUAACUCUGACAGAAACGUUCGCGAAGCGUGACAUACUGCCACUGAACAGUGCUAAAGCCCAGGGGAUAACUAGAGUCAUUGCCGAGGAAAUAAUUCUGGAUGAUGAGCCGUUAUCUCUCGUGAGUAAAGUUGGCUUUCGAUGCUCGUCUUUGUUAGAAAGAAUCUCCCCAUUAUGCUCGGACUGCAGUCAGGGGGGGCAAACAAUUGAAGGGAGUGUGUAGAUUUUUUUUUUUUUCUUUUAAGUUUACACUUGUUCAAGAGCAAGUAUUGAUGCUGAGUUAUAGAUAGUUUAUCCCAGUCAACUGUAUACUUCUAUUUUUUUUACAGAAAAAUACCAAAUUAAUUAUACAUAGCAUUUUCUGUUUUCUUAAAUUACUUUCAAAUUCAUGUAAAAUUACAUUAAUUUUCCUUCAUUAAAUAUGUAGCUUGUUAUAUAAAAGUCUAUGUCCAUACUAACGAUCUAAAGGUAUUUUUCUGCAGAACUGUUUGCAUUGUCACUUUAUUAAAGGUGGUUCAUCAUAACAAUUCAGAAAAAAAUCUGUAAAAUAAUGGUAUUUUUCUGUGGAACUGCCAGCAUUGUCACUUCAUUAAAAGGUGUUUGAUUGUAAUAAUUUGGAAAAACUCUGUAGAAUAAAGGUAUUUUUCUGCAGAACUGUUUGCAUCGUCACUUUUUUAAAGGUGGUUGAUCUUAAUAAUUUAGUAAAAAUCUGUAAAAUUACGCUAUUUUUCCGCAAAACGUUACAUGAACA